rnacentral:rRNA from 1 species
CAGCUCGUGUCGUGAGAGUGUUGGGUUAAGUCCCGCAACGAGCGCAACCCUUGUCAUUAGUUGCUACGAAAGGGCACUCUAAUGAGACUGCCGGUGACAAACCGGAGGAAGGUGGGGAUGACGUCAAGUCCUCAUGGCCCUUAUAGGUGGGGCUACACACGUCAUACAAUGGCUGGUACAAAGGGUUGCCAACCCGCGAGGGGGAGCCAAUCCCAUAAAGCCAGUCGUAGUCCGGAUCGCAGUCUGCAACUCGACUGCGUGAAGUCGGAAUCGCUAGUAAUCGUGGAUCAGCAUGUCACGGUGAAUACGUUCCCGGGUCUU